GACAAUGCGGGUCAUGAGCCAGCUGCUGCUGGUGGCAAUGGGGUUCAAUGUGUGGAUGAGAAAGCAACAAAUGUGAAGCUGAGGCAUAAGUAUAGCAAUUCAGUUGAUGGGUCUUCUUUAACGGAAUCUAUUGACUCAAAAAAAGGCUAUGGCUCCUGAAAAACUCGCUGAGUUGUGGGCUCUUGAUCCUAACGAGCCAAAAGGUACUUUCCUUUUGCUUUAUGUACAUGUUUUGCCUUGAAUCAAUCAUUAAAUAAUUCUGUUUAUUUGCUUAACCCCCCCCCCCCCCCGCCCUUCGAAUUUUAUCUUAUCUCGUCGAAUCAGGGGGCUUGUAGUUUAUGGCUAACUUUCUUCCUUUCUUCUAGAGAAAGCAAUGCUCAUGUGGAGAGCAUAAAAUGUUGCAACCAAAAAUUAAGAAGCUGCUUAAUUUUUCUUUCUUGUUUUUUUUUUUUAUAAAAAACUUCCAAAUCGCUAACAUAAAGGGAAGCAGUAUGGAAGGAGCUCAAAUCUCUUGAUAUCAAGGUGGGUUUGGUUGGGAUUGAGGUUUAGUUGAUGUAACUUACUAAUUGAUGGAUUAUGUAGUUUUGGAAGUAUAUGAGAAUUCAGUGCAUGCAUGGGCCGCUCUAUGCAUUUAGGUACUGUGAUUGCUAGACGUAUUUCGUCAAUGGAUUCUGAAACUUAUUACUGAUGGGGAUGUUGGUUUUGACAUUAUCAGGUCCUCGGGAAGCCUACAGUGGAUGAGUUUUUCUGAUUGAUAUCUUAAUGUCCAGUUCUGUCCUUUCCUCUCGCAUAAUCCCAUCUUUCUACUUAGCCAAUGAAGCUUGCCAGAUUUGUUCUGUCAUUUUUCAGCUGGCGUCUCUAUGGUUAAGCAUGUUUUUAAGUUAUUUGUUUCUGUUGCAUCAAUGCUAUGCGAUGAAAAAUCAAUGCCAUACAUUUAAAUGAAGACCAAAUACAUCUCUUCCAAAAGUUUGAAUAAGAACUCCAGGGAUGAAUUGGCUUUUAAUGCUUUACUACCUUAAUAUCUCAGGUUUUUUUUUUUUUUUUUUUAACAUUUCUUAGGUUACUUCUUUUUCUGAAUAUGAACCCUUUGACUUUACAACAAUGAGCUAGGAAACUAUCGAAAGCUUUUCAUGGUAUUUUAUUUUUAUUAAUUUAUCUCAAAUUAUCUAUUUUUUGAAGUAUAUUAUGUAGCCUGUCCAUGAUACUCUAAAGAGUGAUUCUUUAUUAAUCAUGGAAUUGCUUUUGAUUAAUCUGAUUUACAUGCAGAUGAAUAAAAAAGUAUAAAUUCUAUAAAUUUCCUCUGAAACUAUCUAGGAUUAUGGCCAAUAGGCAGUCUGCUGCUCGCUUGAAAGAGAGCCCGAUAUCGUAUGUAUCCGAACUUGAAAGAAAAGUGCAUACCAACUUACACUUUUCCAGAGGGAUACAUCAAGUCUGACUACUGAGAACUCAGAGCUUAAGCUUCGAUUACAAGCUAUGGAACAACAGGCUGAAUUACAUGACGCUCUGAAUGAAGCAUUGAAGAAGGAAAUAGAGAGACUCAAGUUUGCUACUGGAGAAAUUAUGGCACCAACAGUAGCUAUAAUUUGGGGAUGCAUCAUAUUCCAUAUAACCAUUCUCACAUGCUUUCACCUAAGCAUAUCGAAGGCCAGUUCAUCGUUUAGAAGAUGUUUGAGACCAGAGAUUGCUGCUUCCCCUUCUCAUGCCUGCCAGAGAUGUUGCUACAGGAUCCUCUCACAUAGUUGCAGGGGCUUGAUAUCAGCAGCAGAGCUAGAUCUGAAUGCCCCCCAAUUUCCGCCAGUGAAGAACUUCAUUACAGAAUCUCUUGAGGAUUUAUCUAUGUUCAAUUUCAUAUAUACACUACUGGUCAUCGCGAUUCGCGCUCAAUUCAAAUCCAAAUACUGUUUCUAAACCUUCGUACUUUAAUAUUCAAUUCAUAUCCAUACUCCUAAACACACUUCAGGCUUUCAUGCUUCCAUAGCAUUUGUUGUUUUGGAUGAUGCCAAACCCCAGUUUCCAAAUUAUCUGUUCUACCCCACCUCAAGUCAAUAUCCUUGGUUUCUCCAUUAUAGGUGUCCUCCUCGUUCCAUUUGCUUGCAGCUUGUAUAUUUGGCAGACUUACUAGUAGAAGAGGGAGGGGAGAGAGCUGUGAUUUGGGAAAAGAAAACACAGACAAGAAUUGGGUUGUGUUGAUUGGUUGGCCACCCAUGCUCAUUCCUUAUAUAUGUAUUUUAUGGAAGCUCCUAUGGUUUAUCUUA